rnacentral:rRNA from 1 species
CGAAUGAGGAGAUUCAUCGUCAGCUUAUUCAGUAUUAAUGCAGGCUAUGAUGUGAUAAUAGAAUCCUUGUGGUCACUAGAUUAUACUUGCUUGUAUUAUUUUUGCUGGGUAUGUCGGCGUGCACUUCUCCUCUAGUAGAACGUCGCAACCCGUUGGAUGUUUAUCUAUGGCUUGAAUGGUAGCCUUUGAUAUUUUUUAUAUUAAAGACCUUCGAUGUCCUGAUAAACUGUUUGACGGUAUACAUAUGGUAUUGAGCCGCAAUUAUUUGCGUUAGACUUGCCGCAAGUAUGACUUUAUUCUAGUAGUGCGGAUCUAAUGCCGUCGCUGGACAAAGUCUGCUGUUAGCUGUGUAAUGUCUUUAACUGGCUUAUUUACCGGUUAGCGAUG